rnacentral:rRNA from 1 species
AGUGAACGCUGGCGGUAGGCCUAACACAUGCCAGUCGAACGGCAGCACAGUAAGAGCUUGCUCUUACGGGUGGCGAGUGGCGGACGGGUGAGGAAUACAUCGGAAUCUACUUUUUCGUGGGGGAUAACGUAGGGAAACUUACGCUAAUACCGCAUACGACCUACGGGUGAAAGCAGGGGAUCUUCGGACCUUGCGCGAUUGAAUGAGCCGAUGUCGGAUUAGCUAGUUGGCGGGGUAAAGGCCCACCAAGGCGACGAUCCGUAGCUGGUCUGAGAGGAUGAUCAGCCACACUGGAACUGAGACACGGUCCAGACUCCUACGGGAGGCAGCAGUGGGGAAUAUUGGACAAUGGGCGCAAGCCUGAUCCAGCCAUACCGCGUGGGUGAAGAAGGCCUUCGGGUUGUAAAGCCCUUUUGUUGGGAAAGAAAAGCAGCAGGUUAAUACCCCGAUGUUCUGACGGUACCCAAAGAAUAAGCACCGGCUAACUUCGUG